rnacentral:rRNA from 1 species
GACGUAGGGCGCGAGCGUUGUCCGGAUUUAUUGGGCGUAAAGAGCUCGUAGGCGGCUUGUCGCGUCGAAUGUGAAAACUCGAGGCUCAACCUCGGGCUUGCAGUGGAUACGGGCAGACUAGAGUGCGGUAGGGGAGACUGGAAUUCCUGGUGUAGCGGUGAAAUGCGCAGAUAUCAGGAGGAACACCGAUGGCGAAGGCAGGUCUCUGGGCCGAUACUGACGCUGAGGAGCGAAAGCGUGGGGAGCGAACAGG